AGCGAACGCUGGCGGCAGGCCUAACACAUGCAAGUCGAACGAACCUUUCGGGGUUAGUGGCGGACGGGUGAGUAACACGUGGGAACGUGCCUUUAGGCUCGGAAUAACUCAGGGAAACUUGUGCUAAUACCGAAUGUGCCCUUCGGGGGAAAGAUUAAUCGCCUUUAGAGCGGCCCGCGUCUGAUUAGCUAGUUGGUUGAGGUAAUGGCUCACCAAGGCGACGAUCAGUAGCUGGUCUGAGAGGAUGAUCAGCCACAUUGGGACUGAGACACGGCCCAAACUCCUACGGGAGGCAGCAGUGGGGAAUCUUGCGCAAUGGGCGAAAGCCUGACGCAGCCAUGCCGCGUGAAUGAUGAAGGUCUUAGGAUUGUAAAAUUCUUUCACCGGGGACGAUAAUGACGGUACCCGGAGAAGAAGCCCCGGCUAACUUCGUG
rnacentral:rRNA from 1 species